AGAGAGAGAGAGAGAGAGAGAGCAGUGUCUGCGCUCUUACCGGCAGCAGCGCUGGAGUGUGUGUGUGUGUGAGUGUGUGUUUGGUGCAGUCAUACAGAUGCAGUGUGUGUGUCCUGACAGCAGCAUGUGAGUGUGUGUGAGUGUGUGUGUUUUUUGCGAGCAGGUGUUUUUGCCAGGCGUCAGAGGGAGGGACACACACACCCUCCAAAUGAGCAGAAGCACGGAGGCGGCCGGACUAUUCGCCUUUUUCUUUCGUUUUUUGUUCUUCUUCUUCCUCAUCGUGGUUGUGGGAGGCGCUUUCUCCUCUCAUCUGCUCGCGCUGUCCGUCAUCUGCCUGCUCAUCUAUUUCUCCAUCUAUCUCAUCUAUAAUUUCUCUGAUUUGUGAGCGGAGUUUGCGGAGGGACUGUGUGGUCUUACCUCUUCUUCUCUUCCUCCUUUGAUUGUUUGAUUAUAGACUCGCUCGCUUCAUUCAUGAGUCUGGACUGUGCCGCGUCUCCAGAUGAGCAAACACACGCGCCUCUUUCUGCUCUUUUACAAUUGGACUAAAUGCGGAGUGAAGCCGGUUCAGCAGAGGUGAAUGUGAACAGGACGCCGGAGGACGUGUGCACUGUUCGACUCUCUGAAAUCCAGGACUCUGAAGAUCAGCAGUUCCAGAGGACACACACACACUCACACAAACACACACAAGAACAGAGAGAGAUACUGUUGACAGACUGCUAUCAGUGUCCACAGUAGGGUAUGAGAGCGCUACAGCAUCAUGUGGUUUCUCAGAUGGAGGAGUGAGAGUGAGGUGA